UAUUUUAGAAUGUUAAUUUGGGGUGCCUGAGUAGUAUUAGUUAUGUUCUUGAAACUUAAAGAAUUUGGCGGUAUCUCAUUCCGUCCAGAGGAAUCUGUCCCGUUAUCGAUAGUCCGCGUUGGACCUUACUUGGAUUUAUUAGUUUGUAUACCGCCGUAUAUUGAUUAUCUUUGUAGAGUUUAUUAAUUUUCUGGUUUCUUUAUUAUGGUUUAUUUCAGGUCAAGGUGCAGCUUGUUUCCAAGUGGAAUGAUGGAUUACAUUGUUAUUUGUUUUUGGAUUGUUGGUUUUAAUAUUGAUAUGAAAUUGGAUUUGGUUGUAAUUUCUUGUAGAUUGUUGUUGUGAUAGUUGGUUCUGAGAUAUGUACACAUCGCCCGUCGCUCUCGUUUAUU
rnacentral:rRNA from 1 species